rnacentral:rRNA from 1 species
UUAAAAUUAAUUUAUUAAUUUUUUUUUUCUGUAAAAAUUUUUUUAUUAAAAGUAAUUAUAUAAUUUUAUUGUUUUAGUAAUUUAUAAAAAAAAAAUAUUUUUAAUUAUAGUUUAAUAGUAUUGUAAAAGACAAUUGAAAUAAUUUGAAAAAUAUUUAUUUUAAAAGAAAAUUUAAUUUAUUGUACCUUGUGUGUCAGGGUUUAUUAAAUAAAAAUUAGUUAUUUUAAUUUUCUCGAUUUUAAAAGAGUUAAUAUAUUAUAAAAUUUAAUGUUAUAAAACUAUUUUUAAUAAUAUAUUAGAAAUGAAAUGUUAUUCGUUUUUAAUGGUAUCUAGUUCUUUAAGAAAUAAAUUUAAUUUAGAAAUUUUAUAUUAUUUAGUUAUUUAUUUAAUUAAAUAAUUAUUUUAUUUUAAUAUUUUAUGGGAUAAGCUAUAAAAUAAAUUGUUAAAAAUUAAUUUAAAUAUUAAUAUAUGUAAGUUUAGAAAUAGCUAUCAUUAAUAAAAAUGUUAUAAUUUAUUUUAUUUAAAAUAUUAUUUAUUUUAAUUUUAAUUAGUUUAUUAAAGUAUUUAUUAAAAUUUAUAAAAUUAAUAAAUAAUGAUAAAAUUAGUAUAUAAUAAUGUGUAAAUAAAUUUUUUUGAAAAGUUUUUAUAAAGAACUCGGCAAAUUUAGUAUUCGCCUGUUUAACAAAAACAUGUCUUUUUGUAUUUUUAAAAAGUUUAACCUGCCCACUGAAAUUUUAAAUGGCCGCAGUAUACUAACUGUGCAAAGGUAGCAUAAUCAUUAGUUUUUUAAUUGAAAGCUGGUAUGAAUGGUUGGACGAGAUACUAACUGUUUCAUAAAAAUUUUUUAUAGAAUUUUAUUUUUUAGUUAAAAAGCUAAAAUUUUUUUAAAAGACGAGAAGACCCUAUAAAUCUUUAUAUUUAUAUUAUUAUUAUUUAUUAGAUUUUUUUUUGUAGUAAUAAUUUAUAAUAUUUUGUUGGGGUGAUAUUAAAAUUUAAUAAACUUUUAAUUUAAAUUUUCAUUAAUUUAUGAGUUAUUGAUCCAUUAUUAAUGAUUAAAAAAUUAAGUUACUUUAGGGAUAACAGCGUAAUUUUUUUGGAGAGUUCAUAUCGAUAAAAAAGAUUGCGACCUCGAUGUUGGAUUAAGAUAUAAAUUUAGGUGUAGCAGCUUAAAUUUUAAGUCUGUUCGACUUUUAAAUUCUUACAUGAUCUGAGUUCAAACCGGUGUAAGCCAGGUUGGUUUCUAUCUUUAAAAAUUUUUAAUAUUUUAGUACGAAAGGACCUAAUAUUAAAUAUAUAAAUAUUUUUAUAAUGAAUUACAUUAAUU